rnacentral:rRNA from 1 species
AACGAACGCUGGCGGCAUGCCUAACACAUGCAAGUCGAACGAGACCUUCGGGUCUAGUGGCGCACGGGUGCGUAACGCGUGGGAACCUGCCUUUAGGUUCGGAAUAACUCAGAGAAAUUUGAGCUAAUACCGGAUGAUGUCUUCGGACCAAAGAUUUAUCGCCUUUAGAUGGACCCGCGUUGGAUUAGCUAGUUGGUGGGGUAAAGGCCUACCAAGGCGACGAUCCAUAGCUGGUCUGAGAGGAUGAUCAGCCACACUGGGACUGAGACACGGCCCAGACUCCUACGGGAGGCAGCAGUGGGGAAUAUUGGACAAUGGGCGAAAGCCUGAUCCAGCAAUGCCGCGUGAGUGAUGAAGGCCUUAGGGUUGUAAAGCUCUUUUACCCGAGAUGAUAAUGACAGUAUCGGGAGAAUAAGCUCCGGCUAACUCCGUG